AUUGAGGUCUAUCCCGAUGGGGCUUCCCUAGUAGCCAGCCAUCGUUGGAAACGCCUCAUAGAGUAACUUGUGGUUCCUUGACUCAGGCCUAUUUGUUAGGUUUGUGGGAAGGAACUACAAGACAGCU